rnacentral:rRNA from 1 species
UACGAAGGGAGCUAGCGUUGUUCGGAAUUACUGGGCGUAAAGGGCGCGUAGGCGGCUCUUUUAGUCAGGCGUGAAAGCCCCGGGCUUAACCUGGGAACAGCGUUUGAUACUGGAGAGCUUGAGUGUGGGAGAGGUUGGUGGAAUUCCCAGUGUAGAGGUGAAAUUCGUAGAUAUUGGGAAGAACACCGGUGGCGAAGGCGGCCAACUGGACCACAACUGACGCUGAGGCGCGAAAGCUAGGGGAGCAAACGGG